rnacentral:rRNA from 1 species
GCAAGUCGAACGGUAACAGGACGCUAGGAUCCCUUCGGGGUGACUUUGUCGCUGACGAGUGGCGGACGGGUGAGUAAUGCAUAGGAAUCUACCCAGUAGUGGGGGAUAACGUGGAGAAAUCCACGCUAAUACCGCAUGUGUCCUACGGGACAAAGCAGGGGACCUUCGGGCCUUGCGCUAUUGGAUGAGCCUAUGUUGGAUUAGCUAGUUGGUAGGGUAAAAGCCUACCAAGGCGACGAUCAGUAGCUGGUUUGAGAGGACGACC